GAGUCAAGGAUGUGUCCACAUCAUAGUGGCUCAGACCAAAGACAACAAGUACACACUGGACCAGACGAGCGCUGUGUUCGACAGCAUCCCUGAGGUGGUGCACUAUUACUCCAAUGAGAAGCUGCCUUUCAAGGGAGCAGAGCACAUGGCCCUGCUCUACCCUGUGCACAGCAAGCUUCACUAAGUUCCAGCUAACGCGAGCCCAGGAGGCCACCAGCGCCUAAGAGCGUCUCAGUGGACAAGGCUGGACUGCUCCCCACACCGAGUGCAGAGUGGGACUCACCCCUAAAAGUCAGAAAGUCUGCGAUCUUGAGUCCAUUGCUAAGUAGCUGUACAAUAAGGAACCAUCCUUCACCUGUCGCCUCCUCCUCUGAAGUAGGAGGUUCUGUUUGGGGGGGGUGACCCUCAGGAAAGGUAAGUCUAGAGUUCAGGGGCACAGAAGGUCUCCAGCAAUGUGCGAGUUGUUCCCUGGGAUACCAGAUCUCUGAACACACCAACAGCGCACACCCCACUCGGCCUUCACCUGGGAUCACGUGGACUGGAAGAGCAUUUAGUGUCGCACCCCUUAGCAGGGGACUUGGAUGGACAGUGGGAAAUGUGAACAAUGGGCAAGAAGUUGUCUUUCUCCCUCCAGUGUCCUGAAUCAGCUCUGUGUUCCUGCAGAUCACCACGCUAAGGUGUGGCAAAAGGAUCACUUUGUUGGUCAGCUUUUCUAAGAAAAAUUGGUCUUUUCUCAUUUUCUGUGGACCUUCUUUUAAAUAAUUUUCCAGGAACCCAAUAAUAUAAGCAUAAAUGGGCAAGAAGACACCCCAGAUCUAGGAAUCACCAGUAUAAUGAUAAGCCUUGGCAUCAUUAUCAUAAUUCUGGAUCGCAGAGUAAAAUAUACCACAAAGAUUUCCUUUCGGAUUUUUAAAAAUUCACAAAGCUCAACAGCCAUUUCCUAUUGGAUGGUUAUGUAAAACUUCAGAUAUCUUUUGUUUUGUCUUUGUGCAUUUUAGUUCCCAUGGAAUCAUCUUUAAGUUUGUCUCUAAAAUUAGAAUUGCUUCAUAUUUUUAGUAAAUUUUUUUUCAAAAACAAUUUUGAGAUCUGAUUGUAUGAANUUCUUGGAUGCUGAUCAGUAUCUUAAAGAAGAGUGGCUGUCUGUCUGCAGGAUGCUGGCAGCCAUCAGAUAGCAAAGGCAGCGGGGCUCAGCUCUCCAGGUCGUUUUGCAGCAUGUUAGAGUCCGUGUUAAAGAGAAAAAGCUUCUUCCCCAGCUAAGGCGGGCGGGGGGGCGGGGGGGCGGUAUUUUUCCUUUGAAGUCUGCCUGCCACCUCUGCUGUCUCGGAUGUUAAAUGGAGUCUUCCUUCCAGUCCAGUUUGAGGGAUCUGAGCGACCUUCCGUCAAGGAGGAGGCCGUGAGGCAGCACCACCGGCAAAAGAGCUGGACCCAGAAAAUCUUGAAGCCAGCCCUGUCUGACCACAGCGAGGGGGAAAAGGUGGACCCAGGCCUGCCCCUGGAGAAGCAGCCGUGAGUGUCCUUCCCUGACCCCGAGAUAAGCAAGGCCGCGGGUACUGACACCUGGUUCUUUGUUGGUGAACACCUGUCUGAGGGGGGCCUGUUCUUGAAACCCAUCUUUGGAGCUCGGUGCAUUGUGCGGAAUGGACAGUGCAUGUAUCCCCAGCACCUUGUUUUACAGUGCAUUCUCCUUACACGGGGAGAACUUCUGGAUGACACUAGCCCUGUUGACCCUCCCUGACAGGAUUGGUGGGACCCUCAAGUCUGCCUUCUGUCUCUCCUGAGAGAGAGCCCGCCUGGAUUUGCACUUUGAUGCUCACAGCACCUUCCGUCUUCUGUCUCCCUCUUUUCAGUUGGUAUCAUGGUGCCAUCACCCGGGCGGAGGCUGAGAGUCGACUACAGCCCUGCAAAGAAGCUGGGUACCUGGUUCGCAACAGUGAAUCAGGGAACAGCAGGUACUCCAUUGCACUGAAGUAAGUAUUUCAGCUUCAUGGGCCUCCCUGCCUCAGGGGAGGGUACACCUACCACGGGUAGAUCACCAACCCAAGAUAUGUAGCUUAGCGGGGCACAGUGGUGUGUGCCUGAAUCCCAGCAGGUGGUGAGGCUGAGGCAGGAGGAUUGCAAGUUCAAGACCGGCCUCAACAACCUUCGUGAGAACCUCAGCAACUUAGCAAGACCAUCUCAAAAAAAAAGAGACUGGGAAUAUAACUCAGUGGUUAAAAAAAAAUCCCUGAGUUUAAUCCCUAGGGCUAAUAUAUAUAUAAUGCAUAUGUAUUUGUAUGUUAUAUAUAAUAUAUAUUUAUACAUGUAUAAUUUGAAGGUGGUUCACAGGAAUGUAUCUAGAGAAAAUAAUAUGCAUUUAAUUAAACUGAAAGUCAAACACAAUCUGAAUGCAGAAUUGGUGUUGGGUAAAGGCUCCAAUAUCUAUUAGGAUAUUGAGGGUCCUAUUUCAUGAUCUUUGUACCUGAGUCAAUUUUUACCCUUCAAUUGCCUCAUCUGGAAUAGGACCUCUCUCAGUAGAGAAAUAAUUCCUGGUAAAAAGAAAAAUCUCUAGCGGGAUAGUUCAGUCACUCUUUCAUUCCCAACAAUUAGGGACUUUCAUAAAUUGGAUCCCUUGAUUGUCAAAAUGCCAGCUGCAGUUUUGAUACCAGUCUCCUCUGGUGAAUUAGGAAACGCUGACUUGCCUAUUACACCCUCUGUCUAAUUGUGCUCAGAAAAUUCACUUUGCCUGGUAGGCCUGCUGGAGGGUAUCAUGGAAAUUCUCGUUGCACGGUGAGUUCAGCGGCGCUAUAUUGGAGGAUCAUUGUCAAGAGCCCUAACAGCAUUUCCUUCCUGAGGAAGCUGAGCCCCUGCAGCUGAAACAAUCAGACUGCAGGGGCAGCGAGGGGGAGGGGCCGCGGGCAGCCCGGCUCAGAAAAUGGGAUAGGCCACCACCAGAUACACAAUACCAGGAACAGCUCCGCUCGGUUCCUGAAAUCGGUGCUUUGAGCCUUCAGUGCCAGCCGUCACUGCAUAGAACCAGGAAUGGUCUUUCCACAUCGGUGGGGGGGCAUGGAAAUAGUUUUCAUCCUUGUUAUCAUUAUUAUUAAUGUGUUCUUCGGGGGAAGGAAGAAAGAAGAAGCCUGCCGUGAGUUCUGUUAGCGGCAGUGAGGACGGUGAGCUGCAACUUUGCACUUCAGCCCAUUGGCGCUUGCACUUAAGCUCUAGUUCUGCAAGUUGGGGCCUUUUUUUUUUUUUUUUUUUUGGUCCAGUGUCCAGUGACUUGAGUGUAAGAAGGACGAACAACCCAAGGAUGACGUGCCUUUAGGCUGCAGUACUUCCCCAGAGCUUCCCCCGAGUGUCUAAGGCAUUUCUGUUGGUGAAGAGCAGUUCCAGGAGUGGGAAGAGGACUCUCCGGGGAUUGUUGGCUGUGGGGAGAGAUUCUCUGCUCACUUGUUCAUGUCUCCUCCUUGAUUUUUUGUUUUGCUCCAGGACGAGUCAAGGAUGUGUCCACAUCAUAGUGGCUCAGACCAAAGACAACAAGUACACACUGGACCAGACGAGCGCUGUGUUCGACAGCAUCCCUGAGGUGGUGCACUAUUACUCCAAUGAGAAGCUGCCUUUCAAGGGAGCAGAGCACAUGGCCCUGCUCUACCCUGUGCACAGCAAGCUUCACUAAGUUCCAGCUAACGCGAGCCCAGGAGGCCACCAGCGCCUAAGAGCGUCUCAGUGGACAAGGCUGGACUGCUCCCCACACCGAGUGCAGAGUGGGACUCACCCCUAAAAGUCAGAAAGUCUGCGAUCUUGAGUCCAUUGCUAAGUAGCUGUACAAUAAGGAACCAUCCUUCACCUGUCGCCUCCUCCUCUGAAGUAGGAGGUUCUGUUUGGGGGGGGUGACCCUCAGGAAAGGUAAGUCUAGAGUUCAGGGGCACAGAAGGUCUCCAGCAAUGUGCGAGUUGUUCCCUGGGAUACCAGAUCUCUGAACACACCAACAGCGCACACCCCACUCGGCCUUCACCUGGGAUCACGUGGACUGGAAGAGCAUUUAGUGUCGCACCCCUUAGCAGGGGACUUGGAUGGACAGUGGGAAAUGUGAACAAUGGGCAAGAAGUUGUCUUUCUCCCUCCAGUGUCCUGAAUCAGCUCUGUGUUCCUGCAGAUCACCACGCUAAGGUGUGGCAAAAGGAUCACUUUGUUGGUCAGCUUUUCUAAGAAAAAUUGGUCUUUUCUCAUUUUCUGUGGACCUUCUUUUAAAUAAUUUUCCAGGAACCCAAUAAUAUAAGCAUAAAUGGGCAAGAAGACACCCCAGAUCUAGGAAUCACCAGUAUAAUGAUAAGCCUUGGCAUCAUUAUCAUAAUUCUGGAUCGCAGAGUAAAAUAUACCACAAAGAUUUCCUUUCGGAUUUUUAAAAAUUCACAAAGCUCAACAGCCAUUUCCUAUUGGAUGGUUAUGUAAAACUUCAGAUAUCUUUUGUUUUGUCUUUGUGCAUUUUAGUUCCCAUGGAAUCAUCUUUAAGUUUGUCUCUAAAAUUAGAAUUGCUUCAUAUUUUUAGUAAAUUUUUUUUCAAAAACAAUUUUGAGAUCUGAUUGUAUGAACUGGGUCACUAGAGUCUGCAAAGAUUCUCUUUCUGUACAAAGCAAGCCUGUCCACGCUGGAUAAAAGUAUUUUAAAGCCAGGUGCUGUGGUGCACACCUGUGAUCCCAGUGACCAGGGAGGCUGAGGCAGGAGGAUCACAAGUUCAGGGCCAGCUUCUGCAAAUUAGCAAGGCCCUAAGCAACUUAGUGAGACCCUGUCUAAAAAUAAAAAAUAAGAAGGGCUGGGAAUGUAGCUCAGUGGUGAAGCACUCUAGGUUCAAUUCCCAGUACAAAAUAAAUAAAUAAAUAAAUAAAUAAAAUAAAUGUAAAGACUCAAAUCAGGUGUGGAGGUACACAUUUCUAAUCCCAGCUACUAGGGAAGUUGAGGCAGAAGGAUCACAAGUUAGAGGCCAACCUCAGCAGCUUAGUGAGAUUCUGUCUUAAAAAUAAAAAGGACCAGAAAUAAUGUAGCUCAGUGAUAGAGUGUUCACCCAGCAUGCACAAGGCCCUGGAUUCAAUUCCUAGCACUACACCAAAAAACAACACCACCAACACCAAAAAAAAAAAAAAAAAAAAAAACUUUGAGAUCGUCCCUAACUACUAUUCCUUAAUACAUUAAAUUAAUAGUCAUAGUAUUGUUAUCUUUAUGAUUUACCAUGAAUUUAUAUUGCCUAUUUAUUGAUGACGACAACUCUCUGGUGGGUGGCUCUGGAAUUAGAACUGUCUUCUGGGGUUCAUAAUCUGAUUCUCAGAGCUGGUCCAGAUGAGAUGUGCUGACCGUCAUCAACGAAAAGUUAACUUUCGUAGCUUAUUUCAAAUACACAAAAAACUGUUGAUUUGGGUAAUUUUCAGGAGAGCAUAACUUUCCAGUUAUUAUCAUCUGAUUCAGAAGUCAGCACAUUUUUUGCUUUUUAAGUUUUGAUCUAAGUCUAAGAGUUGUGAAGGUUGUGAGAUCUUCAAUAAUGUUUCGUUGUAUAAGUCUUGAUAGAUUUGCUGGGGGCGGGGUACUGGGGAUCAAACCCAGGGGCACUUACCACUGAACCACGUCCCCAACCCUUUUUAUUUUUUGAGACAGGGUCUUACUGAGUUGCUUAGGGCCUCACUAAUUUGCUAAGACUAGCCUCAACCUUGUGAUCCUCCUGCCUCAGCCCCCUGAGUCACUGGGAUUACAGACCUGAACCACCAUGCCCGGCAUUGAUAGAAGUUUUUAAGUAUGUAUUGGUUCAUGUACUAUAUCUUUAGUACAAGUUUUUUUUUUAAUUUUCAGCAUCCAUAGUUCCAAUUCCAUUCAACAAAUAUUUAUUAUUUUCUAUAUGCACAUUAUUCAUUGUGUUAAACUUAUUUUUAGGUAUACAUGCUAGUGAUGAAACCUUAUUUUUUUUUUGCUAACCUUAUUCUACAAAGGAAAUACAACAAUUAUCUUCACUUUAAUAAAUGCUAAAAGCUUUAUAAAUUUUUUUUCUUUGUGCAUUAAAUGAUUUUUGGCCCAUACCCAGCAACUAUGAUGAAUGUAUAAUGAAAUAACCUUUUGAAAAUAGGCCUGAUGCAUGAAGUAUUUAUUGAGCUUCCAUCAUAUAACUAGGAUUGUGCUUCCUCUACAUAAUUUUGCUGUGACGGUGACGCUCUUCUCUUUAUAUAAUUAAAAGUGGAGGAGACUGGGAGUUUAUAUAUAGUCCACUUACCUUACAACCGCACAGGAAGUUAAAAUAAGCAGAAAUAUAGUAAAUUAGUGGAAGCCUGGUGAAGCCGGUGUUAAGCUACUGUUUUCUGCUUAGGUUGUGACACAAGCUGACAAAAGCCAGGGAAUUCGCAGCUGGGUGGUGGCAUAGAGUGCCAUAUGUUCUAAAAACAAUCAGACCCAGCAGGGAGACCCUAAUGGCUUCCUUGUUAAGCCUCCUGAGGGGCCAGCUGAUCUGAAACUCUGUGACAGGUUCUCUGAGCUCUGCAUGGUUGGGCUUUUAAUCAGCUUAUCUCCACACAAGUAUUUUUCUGCAAUCUCCGUUCUUUUCAUUCUCUCAGAAUAUUCUCUGGCAAAAUAUUGUCUUUUGGCGAAUUCUCCCUCAGUGCCUAGAUUCCAGCAUGUGUAGGGCUGUGUCAGUUCUCCCUUCUGUAUCACAGCUUCUUUCCAAAAAUUGUUCCGCUCCAGAGUCCUGAGUAACGCACGCAGCUGGUCAGUUUCACCUCUGGGAGGGCAGAGGGCCGCCGGGUGCGUGGUGAGCACCUGUGGCCCAGCCACUCACUCGGGAGGCUGAGGCAGGAGCAUUGCUUGAGCCCACAAGUUCACACCCAGCCUGGGCAACGCAGCAAGACCCCUGCUGGGGGAAAAAGGCAGAAAGACAUAUCUGUUUCCUUGGAUUCCACAGCCCUUUCUAUCAGGAUGGAUUUCUUACAUUUAUGUAACAUAAGAAUGAAAUAAUGGAGAAGGUUCAAUAUGUAUACAAAAGGGCAAGUAUUGACAUGUCUAUUCUCUAAGGGGGCAGAAGUGUUUUAAGUUAUUCAUGGUGCUUUCAUAAGAGGCAUAUGUAGGAAACCCUUCAUUCUUCACUGUUUAAAGCCUGCUUUAUUGAAAUGGUGUUCAUUUAUUGACCUCUGCUGCAGGAUAGGGAGGUGGGAAGAUAAUGUACAGAGAAAGCCAGAUAUUUGGGGGGCAGAUGGGAAAUAGUCCUAAUUUGGAAACUGGAUUAUUUUACAGUGUUAUUACUCUGUUAUUGGCUCUUAGUAUUGGGUACAUCUUAACAUUUAAUUCAGAACAACAACUAUGAGACAUUCUUUAAUUGCUUGUUCUACUCUAUAAAAAUGCCAUUUUUUUUUAGAAGUCAGGGUUAAUGUCUUGGAUUUCCAUUAUUCUAGGAGGAAGAAACCCACUGAGUGAUAUGUCUAGAUUUCAUUUCUCCUGUGCAUGCUUUUGAUAUCAGCAGGAUUUCGUUGAUACCUGCCUCAGUGAUCUCUCAUCCAUUGUUGUCUCUUUCUUAUUUUCCAUAACCAGCACUAGCGUGGCCCUGUGUUCUCUUUACAAUCACUCUUUAUUCUCAUUUCCAAUUUUUGCGCUCCAGUCACUGACUUGGAGACACUUGGCCUCCUGCUAUGACAGCCUCCAGGUCUGGCCUUGUGCAAUGAUGGUGUUUUACUGCCAUCUAAUGGAAAGAGAUCAAACUGCAGCUGGGAGAAGAAGCUGUGCGUGUAAGGGUGGAAUUUUCUAAAGGAUUUCUGACACAGUCCAUAAAAGAAAAUAAUAAUAAUAAUAAUAAUGUUUCAGUUGCCCCCCUAAAAUAUAACCUUUACUGUGGCAAAUGUGCUUUGAAACUUCAUAUAACUGUCAUCACGAGGUCUCUGGAUUCCAACUAGGUCGUGUAGUUUAGAAUCUUAAGAAUAUUGUAGUGAAUAAAUUGGCAGCAGAUCAUUGAGUUAGGCAUCACGUUUCAGCCAUAUGGUUAUAUCGUCAGAGGGAUUUAACAUUUUAAAUGUCAACUGGUGCAUUCUUGUAAUUUUCAAAAUAUUUGAAGAUGGUAUAUAAUACAGGUGCCUCUCUAUAGUACCUUGAUAAUUUAUAUGGUAUCAGAGAUAUUUUUUAAAAUUUCUGGAUGUGUUGCAGUAGCUGGUGUAGGCUGUGUGCCCUCCUAAGAUGGUUUGCUCUGAGAUGGAAUUUUAAAUAAACAUUAUGUCAAAAAAACUGGAGUGGUUGUGCUGAAUCCAG
rnacentral:lncRNA from 1 species